GUGCCAGCUCCUGGGAGACAGAGGCAGGUAGCAGAGAAGAACAAGGGGAUGGGCCCUCCCCGGGAGCAUUUUACAAACCAUGGAGACAACACAAAAGUAGCGGCAGGUAACAUGGGCGAACAAAACCAUAGCACAACACAAAGCUAAGUAGAGGGGCUGCCUCGUGUAGUUUAGGAAUUGGGGGGCAGAGUAAGAAGCAGGUCCACCCUCGCCCUCCUCAGCUUCCAAGGCUGCCAACUCUUGAGUCUUCUCUCUCCCCAUGCAGGGAGCGUGAGGGCUGAGACGGGACAUCCCAGAGGGCAGCCUUCGCGGUCAAGCUGGGCACCUCCGACUCUCAGGAGGGCCACACCCAAGCCUGCCUUCCCCACCCAUUUGAGGAAUGGACUUUUGGGUUAGCUGGAAAGAAGAGCAGCUGAGAGAGGCUCCUGAUCAGGCCUCGAUCCCAUCUCUGGCAGGGAGUGCUACAAAACCAAAAAUAAACCUAGCCUAAUUGCUGGAUCGCCAGGCCCACGAUGACAUCGCAGGAUAAAAAAGACUAAGCAGACCACUUCAGGUUCUUCCAGCUUGCGGUACCAUGGCUUUGAGGGUCCUGCUGCUCGGCCCCAUGUCCCCAAAGCCAUGGCAGGGCCUCCCUUGGAUCCUUUCAUCAGGGGAAGGAGUGAGGUAUAAGGGCUUCGUGCCUUCCCAAAUGUUUUCUGGAGACAGAGGAUAUGAGGGCACCAAGAGCUGAAAAGUAGCACUGUCCCACUGUGCACCAGAUUGGGGGGGGUUACACCUGCAGUCCAGACUUCUAGGGGAGCCCCAACUUCAAAUACUCUGGUCACUCAGACCACAUAUACCAAUUUUUGGCAAAACAUGGUCACUGAGAGAAACAACCACAAGAGAAGCUGAGAGAGGACAAUGACUUUGGUAUGAGGAAGACGUCCUCUCAGCAUCUCUUACCUACAGUCUUGAAGCCCAGACAACUGCCCUAGUCAGGAACUCUCCUAUUUCCUCAAGGUAUUUGGUGCUCCGAGGGGAAUGGAGUAAGUCAGGUGCAGGGGAAGCAAAGGGACACAGAGAAAAAGAAAGAAAUCCCCAUUUGUCUCCUGAACCCAAGGAAAGGGGCUCUACCUCAGGGAGCCAAGGAACCUUGAACAUUCGACUCCAAGAGCUACAGCAGCAGCCAUGGGGCUAUACAGGUAUUGUAGGCACGGGUGUUGGGGUCAUCUGCGCACAGGACAUCCUUGCUCUCUAAAACUUCCUCCAGCCCAUUUUCUCUUGCAGCCUCUGGUUAGACUCUAGGAAUGGCUCUGCUCAACCAGGCUUUAGCUUCCUGGAUCUCUGAAGGAAACAUGUUUCUGCUCCAUGGAGAUGGGAUGCCAGUGGUGGAAGACAAGGAAAGAAAGAGAGCCACUCUGCAGGAGCACGGUGGAAAAGGUGCACUUUCCCAGGCCAUGGUACUAGAGUCACCCAUCGUUAGCAGCCACCAACUGGCCCAUGCCCUCUCGGAUGUAGACAGACUGGAUCUCCUUGGUCUUGAGGCAAAGAUCACAGGCCCAGACGGCAGAGGCCUCGGUGGUCAGCAGGCCGUAGGCACUCUCGGUCAUGCCGGUGCACUCGCGGUGAAACCACUUCUGGCAGGAGGCCUCACACAGAAUGGCAUCCUGGUCAUCAUUUACCUCACUACGGCAGGCACCGCAGGGGUACACCAGGCCUGGGGGAGGCUGGGGCCCUGAGCCUCCCCCUGCCUUGCCGGGGGGUGCCAGACUGUUGGCAUCUGGAGUGCCCCCACCUCGACCACUGCUGCUAGGGGGGAAACUGGGCUGAUUCCCAUUGACAGCAGCAGCGGGGGAGCCCGAAUGGGGCUCCUGGGGAAAGGCGGUGGGAGCCGGUGGGUUCAAGGGCUUCCCACCAUCCUCACCGCCAGGGCCAGGAAAACCAGGGUCUGGACCAGGGAAGGGACUUGUGUUGGGGGGCAGGCUGGGGAGUCCCUGACCAGGUCUCUGAAGAGAAGGACCAAAAGGUGCUCCUGGUUGGGUAAAGCGUUGGGGGAGAGGAGGAGGACCCAGCUCCCCUCUAGGAGGCUGUCCCAUGGUCGGUGAGAUCAUGGGACCAAAUCCGCCUACUGGGCCUGGCAUCACCUGCCCACCAGGUGGGCUAAAGUUUUGGCCCAGAGACUGGUUGAAGGGUUGACUGGGAAAGUUCAUGUUGCCAGGGGGCGGGUAGCCAGGGCCCUGAGGGGGCAUAUUAAAAGCUGGACCCAUAGGGUUGGGGGGAAAAGGAGGGGGCUGCCGACGAAGUGGCUGGGGACCCCCUCCUCCUCCAGUGCCGUAGCCUGGGGGUACCUGGCCUGCCAUGCCCCCCUGUACACGAAAGCCUCCAAAGGGCACCGGACUGCCGAGGAACGGAGGGCCUGCGCCCCCCACUUUAGGGGCUCCGAAAUCAUCCUCAAAAGGGUUAGAAGCGACCAGAUGAUCCACCAUGGGGGUCGGGGGUGGGGCGAACUCCGUCAGAUGUGAAUAUGCAGGACCCUGGUGAAAACAGGAAGAAGAUGGGAGACAGAGGCCAACAAGGAGAGCACCGCAGACACAACACACUCUUUGGAGGCUGACGCAGCUCAGAUCCAAACCUCUGGCUGACCUUAGACACGCUAGAGGGUGCAAGGCAAAGCCCAUGGUGCAACAACCCCACGGUGCAACCGCAUUGUUUAAAAAACCAAAACUCCAACAAGGCAGAUAGGGUUGGAGGGAUAGCUCAGUGGUUAAGCACCAGAGUGAUUCCUAGUACCCAUGUUGGAGGG
rnacentral:lncRNA from 1 species